GGGGACCUGUUGUGCAGAACUUCACAGCUUUCUACUCUGAGCUCUAUCUUCCUUGUUCUUCCCCAGCUUUUACUUAGGAGCCACUUCUUGACUGAGCUUGUCACAGGUGAAAGGCUGAUGAAUCUGGAGAGAUACUUGUGGCAAGUACCCGGUGUUCCUGCAGUCAUCCACAAGCGCAGCAGUGGUGGUAGACAGCUAGAGAAGAAAGUGUAAAGUUUGCAUCCUCCAAUUAUCACGGUUGCAAGACAGAACUUGAAACUAGAUACACCUGAUUUUGGUUAUCUCUGGAUGCCAUUCACCGAGAAUGAAGGGAAGAAGAUACUUCCUCCAAAGGAGAAUCUGAUGAGGCGCCAGCAGGCUGCUGCUGCGGUGGAAACUGCCACAUCCGCUUUUGCAAACUGGUGUGGCCCCAGCUGCUUGGACUGAGGCUCAACGCAGGUUUCAGCCACUUCAACCACAGGGCUACGAACAUGCCAAGAGAGCCACUAACCAAGUUUCUCAUUCCUCCUCUGAGAUUUAAAGUCCAUCACUUCGCGACUCAAACACGCAAGAGGCGUGGGAGACGGAGGAAUGGGGAAGCGAGGCGGCGCUGCCCACCUUGGCAAUGGCACAGCCGCGGUCUCUGAUGCAAAGGCAG
rnacentral:lncRNA from 1 species